rfam:Ciona savignyi cont_26954, whole genome shotgun sequence.
GGGGGUGUAGCUCAGAUGGUAGAGCGCGCGCUUAGCAUGCGCGAGGUACCGGAAUCGAUACCCGGCACCUCCA